AUUGAACGCUGGCGGCAGGCCUAACACAUGCAAGUCGAGCGAGCGGCGGACGGGUGAGUAAUGUCUGGGAAACUGCCUGAUGGAGGGGGCUAACUACUGGGAACGGUAGCUAAUACCGCAUACCAUCAGAUGUGCCCAGAUGGGAUUAGCUAGUAGGGGGGGUAACGGCUUACCUAGGCGACGAUCCCUAGCUGGUCUGAGAGGAUGACCAGCCACACUGGAACUGAGACACGGUCCAGACUCCUACGGGAGGCAGCAGUGGGGAAGAUUGGACAAUGGGCGAAAGCCUGAUGCAGCCAUGCCGCGUGUGUGAAGAAGGCCUUCGGGUUGUAAAGCACUUUCAGCGGGGAGGCGUUACCCGCAGAAGAAGCACCGGCUAACUCCGUGCCAGCCGCCGCGGUAAUUC
rnacentral:rRNA from 1 species